AUACCGGGCCUUUUUGGGCUUGGUAAUUGGAAUGAGGGAGAGUUAAACGGACCAUCGAGUAUCCAUUGGAGGGCAAGUCUGGUGCCAGCAGCUGCGGUAAUACCAGCUCCAAUAGCGUAUAUUAAAGUUGUUGCAGUUAAAAAGCUCGUAGUUGGACUUGUGUGCGCUGUCCGCGGGUGGCCUGCGCCCAAAAGGGCGUUUCGGUUCGGCCCCGGUGGCGCCUUGAAAUCUGCAGCUGGGGGGACGUUGGCCUUAACUGGUCGGCGACCGCACGCCGGCUGCUCGGUUACUGUGAGAAAAUUAGAGUGUUCAAGGCAGGCAUUGGGUGCAAUUGAAUACAUUAGCAUGAAUAAUAAAAUAUGGCUCCUGCCGUAUUUUGUUGGUUUUGACUGGUGGGAGUAAUGAUUGAUAGGGACGGUUGGGGGUGCUAGUAUUGAGCGGCCAGAGGUGAAAUUCAUGGAUUCGCUCAAGACUAACUUAUGCGAAAGCAUUCACCAAGGACGUCCUCUUUAAUCAAGAACGAAAGUUGGGGGAUCGAAGACGAUCAGAUACCGUCGUAGUCUCAACCAUAAACUAUGUCGACUUGGGAUCGGCGGUAGUUUUUUCAUUAAGACACUGUCGGGACCACGGGAGAAAUCAAAGUGUCUGGACUCUGGGGGAAGUAUGGUCGCAAGGCUGAAACUUGAAGGAAUUGACGGAAGGGCACCACCAGGAGUGGAGCCUGCGGCUUAAUUUGACCCAACACGGGGAAACUUACCAGGUCCAGAGAUGUAGAGGAUUGACAGAUUGAAGCUCUUUCUUGAUCACUUCGGUGGUGGUGCAUGGCCGUUCUUAGUUGGUGGAGUGAUUUGUCUGGUUAAUUCCGUUAACGAACGAGACCUCAGCCUGCUAGUGUAGUCGGCUGGAUUGCCUUUGGCGAUCCGUGAUUUCGACUUCUUAGAGGGACAAUCGACGCGCAGUCGAUGGAAGUUUGAGGCAAUAACAGGUCUGUGAUGCCCUUAGAUGUUCUGGGCCGCACGCGCGCUACACUGCUGGGCUCAGCGAGUUUUACUUGGCCGAGAGGCCCGGUUAAUCUUGUGAAAUCCCAGCGUGCUUGGGCUCGCCUCCUGCAACUGGAGGCGCCAACGAGGAAUUCCUAGUAGACGCAGGUCAUCAACCUGCAUCGAUUACGUCCCUGCCCUUUGUACACACCGCCCGUCGUUCCAUAAGAGUGAGGCAUCCGGUGAAUUCUCGGGAGAGCCUGGGCGUGGCCAGCAAUGGUCUGCUCGGGUUUGAACUUGCAUAAACUUGGUGCCUAUGAUUAGGG
rnacentral:rRNA from 1 species